GCAGCUGUGAGUGUCCUCUGCGUGCUAUCGGCCUCCCUGUCCCACCCACGCCCCGCGACGGUGCCCUGGCUGGCCUGCCCUGGGGCCCAGACUGCCAGGCUGCCUCCGAGCCCAGGCCUCCCUUCCUCCUGCCGUUUUUAUGGGCAACACUCUUGCUGAGGACCCAGCAGGGAUCGGCCUGCAGCGGGCUCCCACCCCAGGACCCCCCCGCACGGCCUGGCGUGCGGCUGCUUGGACGUGCCCGGGCCGCCUGAGCCGGACACGCGGGCACCAGAGGAGCCAAGCGUGUGCUCUUUGGUGCUGUUCUGUGGGUUUUUAAAAGUAAACAGCACGUGGCACCUACUACGUGCCAUGAACCGUUACCAGCGCUUCACACACACAAACGGGUGGUGUCAACCACCCGCAAAUCCAGAAUAUUCCGGAAAGAAAUAAUUAAAAAAUAACAACGCAACAGUGAAAAAUAAUGCGGACGAAAAAGCAACACAGUACAACUAUUUACACAGCAGCGACACCGUCUCGGGUGUCACGAGGUACCCGGGGAUGACGUGAGGUGCGCAGGUUAGCGUGUGGGUUGCGUGCAGACACGCACCAUGUCAUAGCAGGCACUCGAGCACCCGUGGGGGUUUGUUCCCAGAACCCAUCCCCUGUGGAUCGGUGGGACAGCCGCGAUACGCAUUCACACACACGCACACGCACAGGCGUGCACUUCAUUCUCAUGGCGGAAACCUGAGAGGCAAGUGUGACUGGUCCCGUCUUACAGAUGAGGGAGCCGGGGAGUGAAGUGACUGGUGCAGGGUCACGCGGCAGGCAGGAGGCACGGCCAGGGCUGAGACGCAGGCCGUGCGGCUCUCACGUCCAGGAACUUUGCUUUCCAGCUCUGCAGCCCGCUCGAUCCCUGCUCCAACACCCAGGAGCCCCGUCAGAAUCCCCAGAUGACAGUGAAGUGGUGCGGUCCCGCUGCUCCACCACCUGCCCCACGCAUAUCAAGACUCUGCGACCUGGAAUGCCCGUUUGCAUUAGAGAUGAAUGGCAGCCAGAGGCGGCGAGGACUGGGGACAACAGAACAGAGCCUACCGGUGCAGUUGCACGCGGUGGAGACAGCGCAGCAUGGGCCAGCCAGCCCGGCGCAGGGGUGCUACCCUGGGUAAGCCGAGCGCCCCAAGCACCCCAUCCUUAUCUGCAAGCUGGGGUGGGGGAAAUGCCUUCCUCAUACCGUUGUGGAGACAUUUAAAGAAAAUAACAGUGUACAUGAAACGUGAGUGCAGUGCCUGGCACGUAGCAAGCACAGGCUGAGUUUGAACGACACUGGUCACCUGUGGAAGCCACCUGUGCCAGCGUGCGAGGCCAUUCCUCCAGGGACCACACCUGGCGGCCUCCUCUCCACCUGGCACCGCCUCUUUCCUCUACGUGCCCUCCUCAGAAAACAGGCUGCGGUGAGCCGGAUGGUGCCCCCAAGAGACACGUGCACACCCUAGUCCCUGGGGCCUGUGAGUGUGACCUGUUUUAGAAACAGGGUCUUUGCAGGCAUAACUAAGCUACGGAUCUCGAGACCAUCCUAGGUCACCCAGGUUGGCCCUGAAUUCGACGACAAGCCUCCUUAGAAAACACAGAGAAGGAAGAGGAGGAGACGGGGACAAGGCGGGCACACGCACACACCUGCGCAGACGCAGGCAGAGCCAGAGUGAGGCCACCACAAGCCAGGGCAGCGGUGGCCAGCAGGCAGAGGGCCGACCCGCCCCGGCCUGCGCCGUGGGGGAGCGCGCCCCGCCAACACCCCCACUGCAGACUUCUGGCCCCACACUGGGAGAGAGCACGUUUUUGUGGUUUUAGGCCACCAAGUCCGUGUUCAUUUGUCACAGCAGCCACUGGACACGGAUACUCGUGCUAAGGAUCGUCACCCCUAAACAUGGAGCACUCAGUGAAACGCUGAUCCUCCUUCCCAAAGCGGCGCCACACGUCUCUGCCAGCUCCGCGGCGGCUCCGUGGCAGGUGUCUCCAGCCUUGCAGACCCGAGGGCCUUCCCCUCACGCUCAGAAGCUCACCCACCCUCCCUGCUCUCCACCUCAGGCCUGCAGUCUGCUCUGCCUCCCAGCUGCACCCCCGGCCCUACCCCCAGCUCCUGAUUUCCUGCGCCCUCUCGACUCCAGGCCCAACGCGGGCCCCCUAUUGCACAAGUUCAAGUCCCAGCCCUGCGGCUGCCCACUCACGACAGAUGCACGCCCGUCUCACAGCCCCCAACGUGGCAGGAGGCCCCUUCUUCCCACCUCCCAUGGCCUGUGGCACCCCCCGGCUCUGCCUACCUCUGGUCUGCACCCUGCUCACUCCCUGGGCCCUGCUGAAGCUCUAACUCACCCUGGUCUGCCAACCUCAGCUACCUUCCGCAAGGUGCUGUCCUCGGGUACCCGGGAUUUACUACCUUUAAAUCCAGGACCCAUGGAACAGGAGCUUGAUUUUCAACAUGUAUUUUAAACACAUCGUUCUCUAGUUACUUAAUUUAUGCAAGUCUUGUCUCCCCAGCCAAACUGGUUGCUUCUUGGGGCAGGGACCGAGUGAGUCUUCUAUCUCUUUCGAAUCCUUCUAAGCAUUAAGUGUCUGCUAGGCCAAGACCUCCUGUGACCCGAAGCACGUGGCACCUCUGUCCUGGGCCCCUCAGCAAAGCUUCCAUGAUGGAGGAGACAUUUCGGAAAAGAGCAUGAUCUCGACUCCCAGAGAAAUCAGACUCAAGGUCUCAUCUCUCAGAUAAACGUCUACGCGGGCUGCUGAUUCAGAAAGUCUGUCUGGAUUCUACUAGUAGGAAACACACUGUAUUAUUCCCCAAGAAUGAGAGUGUUAAAGAGACAUUUCCCCCACCAAUUAACUACCGUUUGCAGCAUAAUAACAGGAUUCGGGAUGAAAACCUGAGGAUGGGUGGAUAAAAAUAGAUGCCACAUCGACCAAUGGCACUGUGCGGCUGUUUAAAGCACAGCGUCUAGGACGCAAAGCAUAAUGCUUAUGACAGAUACGCGGAGGAUUAGAGAAGCCCAAUCUAGACUAGACGGUGGAAGAAGGCUAAAUGGUUUCCAUAAUGCAAAAUAAAAUGACAGUACUAGUCAUUGUGCCAAUUGCAUCCCCACCAUUGUGUCUUCCGGUCUUUACCACAGCCUGCCAGGCGGGUUCUCAGCAACUCAAACCUGAGGCUGUCCAGACAUCCCCGGCAGACUGGAGCAGCUGGGCGGGGCUGCGCACCUUUGCCAGGUAUAAAGGGAUCGAGAGGUAAGGACAGAAGCAGGGUCCUCAGGACAGCUUAGAGGUGAACAGGUAAGAAUGCCACUCCCACUGCCACCGCCCAUCUCUCAUCCUAACCCCACACUGUGUUUACUGAGGUCCUAGUUCAAGCCCAGGAUCCUGCAAGGGAAAAGAGAGAGAAAACGGAAGAUCAGCACACGGCUGCCGGCCUUCUCGGUUUGAACAACAGAGUGACUGAGUUACAAAGGGGUCGUGCAUGCAUCUGUGCAUCCACGGGUCCGUUCCACAGGUAUUUCCCCGAGAGCCUCCUAGGGGCUGGGUCAUAUUGAGGGCCCAGAGAAAAUGGUCCUCGCUGGGACAGCCCUACGCCCGUCUAUCUAUUCCACCUGCUCCACCGCAAUGGCCUGUCCUAGGCACAUCCAGGAACAGUCUGUGUCCUCCAGUAGGGCAGAAGGAGAGUCAAAAGAAUCCAGCAUGUUCCAUUAAAAAUAUUUACCUGGUAAAAACUAACCAGAACAACAACAACAAAUUACGAACCUGUCUCUUGGCUAUGACAAAUCAGAACGGAGGGCCUGGCCCUCUGCACGUGCCACCCAUCCCCUGCCCGGCAGCCUCAAAGAGGCCGUUAGGUGAGAGCAGCUGGGGGAGGCAGGCGGCUGCCCCGCCCCUGCAGCCAGAAAGCCAGCCCACAGUGUCCCUGCACCUGGACUGCCGCCAGGAGCUGGCACUUCUGAGCAACACCCCUCCGGAAGGCUGCCCUCGUGUCUCUGCCCCUGCCCCGUCUGGAGCUUGUUAUAAUCUAAUGUCACCAGGUGUGUGUGGGGAAGGGCCAGUGCAGCCUUUGGUUGUGCCCCUGGCCCACAUCCCUGCUGGCUAACCCGUGCGAGGUCCCCGAACUUCCUUUCAAAGCAAGUUUACUUUCGUAAAGCCCUUCCUAUGUUUUAAUGAAGCCACAUAAAUCAAUUCAUUUGUUCUUCCCAAUAAUCCCUCCAGACAGGUAUUAUCUUUUAUUACCUCCUUUCUACAGAUAAGGUGACUGAGGCAGAGGGAGGUCCAGUAACUUGUCCAAAGUCAAAGUCACACAGUUCCUUUGUGGGGUGGCCAGGGUUUGACUCCAGGGGGUGUCCCCUCCAGGGUCUUUCUCUUAGCCUCUGUGCCACACUGGCUCAGGGGCCCACCAUUCUCUAGUGCUCCUCAGGUCCCUCCCAAGCCCAGAGCCAGGCUGCCUGCGAGGCCAGGAGACAGAGGAGGAGGGCAGGGAACCGCCGUCCUCCUCGGACUCGGGCUCUCCUCGCGGCUGCUCCGGAAGGGAGGUGAGCCCUGGCUACCUGAGACACCCAGACUAUUAUUAAACUUGCACUUCCUGAGUGGGGUGAGACUAAUAUAGCAGUGGACGAGCAGCCCGGGGGCCCCAGUGUCCUGGGAGGGAGAGGCUGGCGGCACAGGAGCAGCAGAGAAAGGCCCGUGGCCAGGCAAAGCUCCGUCUCAGCGGGGAAGGGGUUCCGGGGACCUCUUCAUACCUUCUCUGGGGCUUGGGGUGGCCUAAGUUCUCCUCGGGGCAGAUCUUGACUUAUUUUCUCAAGGCCCUUAGUGCAAAAUUCCUACCUAAAAGGAUGACGAGAAAUCGAGCUAAUACCAAACUUCUGCAAACAGCGGUGAUGGGUAUCUCUUUCCUGGGGGUCUAGCGUGGUCAAAUGAGCUUCUUUAACAAAGCCGCAGUCAGAACCCCCAGCAGGGGGUCUAGAUCCAUUCCUGGAGGCCCACGCACAGCCAGAAGACCGGAAGACAGGCUGUCCGCUGGUACACGGGGCAGCGGAGAGCCGCACCUGGGCCAUUCGUUCCCGAGGCCCUCGGGCCUCCCAGAGGAGACACUCGGCUCCCGUGGGCGGACCGUGGCCCUGCUUUGUCCCUGGGAUUAGGAGAAAUGGGGGUGAACCCUGGGCCGCAGUGAGGGUGGGUCUCUUCCCUUUUUCCUUCCAGGAAGUUGCAGCUGUACAAACUCUCUCCAGGCACCCCAAAUCAGACAGCCAGGGGCAAAGACAAAUGAGCAGUCCGAAGUGUCCUUGAGGAAACACGGCGCGUGGGCAGAGUGCUGGGACCCUUCUGGUCUCCCAACCAGGCCACCCCUCCUCCUCCCUGUGCGGCCUGACUGGGGAGGCCCGGCUGGGAGCCCUGCUCCGCCACUUGACGCUGCCUCGCCUAC